UCAGACCCAUCCGUCGUUCGAUUCUAUUUACACUUUGUAGUAUUUAAUUGUACUGCAUUAUAUAUAUAUUUUUGUUUUCCACUAAAUUUACAGUUCUCAGGCUCGAAUAUGUUUCGUUUACCUUUUGGAGAAAGGGUAGAUCCUAUGGAAGAGAAACGCCAAGCAAGAGAGAACACAAUAAAUAGUGUGAUCACGUUUUGUGUUCUUUGUGCUGCUAUAAGAGCUGCUCCAUUUAUUUUGGAACAGAGUGGUUUCAGUGUAUGAAAUGCUUCAUUGAAAUCUGAAGAGUGGGCAUGUGUUAAAUAUAAUUAUUUCAAAGAAAGUUAUUGUUAUUAAGUUAGAUGAUUAUUUGAAAAUAAAGGUUGUUAUAUGAAAAAAUACUGAA